rnacentral:piRNA from 1 species
AUGGACUUCAGCUGUUGGCCUUGCAGG